GGAUAAUAUGUGAUUUAUCUACAAAUUAUAAUAUUGCAUUUGAAAUGUUUUAAAAUUUUAUGUCAACAUUAAGGAUACAAGUGAAUUUAGAGUCAGAGUGAAGCUUACAGUUAGUGUUAGUGGAGUAUUUGUGGCUAGAACGGGGCUUCUUUACAAGUGUGUUAAAGGUUAGGGUAGCAUAUAGCAAUAGGGUUCGAAAGUAAAGAGAUCGUCUGGCUUAUUCACUAAAGUGAGAAUUAUCAGGAAUUUAAAAUUAAUUUCAAAUUGAAGGCCAUAAAAGACAAAGUGAAGAAAAGGUUAAGGGCUGUUCACCAGCUUUGAAACAGUCUUAUUUUUCUACAUCCUGACUGCACAUGGGGUGAUGAAAGAGGUAGUCCAUUUUCAGGUUCAUAUUGGGGUCUGGGGAACCCUAUGUCAUUUUUUAAAUACAACAUGCCUGCCAUGAGUGCUGUUGAGAGAGAUUAUUGUCUCUCUCAUAUUUAAUAUUGUGUCUCAUGACUUUACACAGGUUGAGAGGUCAUUUAUUGAAUUGCUGUUGUUUUUGUCCACUUCAACAUUUGACUACUUUCAGCUGCAAUUUGUCACUUCAGCAUGCUUUUUUUUAGUAGCAUCAGGCUAAGCCUCCACUUAUCCAGGAAAAACCCAUACACUAGGCAAGGAGAGAUACCUUCAGACAUUAUACCUUUUUCACUUCUUAGUAGAUUGGCUCUUUACAGAAUAGGAUAGUGUAUCAGGCUCCGGUUUACAUAAUUUUCUCAUUUUACUUGUUCUUUAUUCCUUGGACUUUGCAACAUUGUGAAAUGAAGUAUUUUUU